rnacentral:rRNA from 1 species
GGCAACUCCAGGUUCAGUGGCGGACGGGUGCGUAACACGUGAGCAACCUGCCCCGCGAUGGGGGAUAGCCGGCCUAACGGCCGGGUAAUACCGCGUACGCCGCCGGAGCCGCAUGGCUCUGGUGGGAUAGCGGCCGCAAGGUCGCGUCGUGGGAGGGGCUCGCGGCCUAUCAGCUUGUUGGUGGGGUAACGGCUCACCAAGGCGACGACGGGUAGCUGGUCUGAGAGGAUGGCCAGCCACAUUGGGACUGAGAUACGGCCCAGACUCCUACGGGAGGCAGCAGUGGGGAAUCUUGCGCAAUGGCCGCAAGGCUGACGCAGCGACGCCGCGUGUGGGAUGACAGCCUUCGGGUUGUAAACCACUGUCGGGGGGGACGAAUACCCGGCUUCGAACAGGAGCCCGGGGGUGACGGUACCUCCAAAGGAAGCACCGGCUAACUCCGUGCCAGCAGCCGCGGUAAUACGGAGGGUGCGAGCGUUGUCCGGAAUCACUGGGCGUAAAGGGCGCGUAGGCGGCCCGCUAAGUCACUUGUGAAAUCCUGGGGCUCAACUCCAGGGCUGCAGGUGAGACUGGCAGGCUAGAGCUCGGUAGAGGCGAGUGGAAUUCCCGGUGUAGCGGUGGAAUGCGUAGAUAUCGGGAAGAACACCUGUGGCGAAGGCGGCUCGCUGGGCCGGUGCUGACGCUGAGGCGCGAAAGCGUGGGGAGCAAACAGGAUUAGAUACCCUGGUAGUCCACGCCGUAAACGAUGGGUACUAGGCGUCGGGGGGAGCGACCCCUUCGGUGCCGUCGCUAACGCAGUAAGUGCCCCGCCUGGGGAGUACGGCCGCAAGGCUGAAACUCAAAGGAAUUGACGGGGGCCCGCACAAGCGGUGGAGCAUGUGGUUCAAUUCGAUGCAACGCGAAGAACCUUACCUGGGCUUGACAUGCUGGUGAAAGCCGGUGGAAACAUCGGCCCCUCUUCGGAGCGCCAGCACAGGUGCUGCAUGGCUGUCGUCAGCUCGUGUCGUGG